rnacentral:misc_RNA from 1 species
GAUGAAGAACGUAGCGAAAUGCGAUAAGUAGUGUGAAUUGCAGAAUUCAGUGAAUCAUCGAAUCUUUGAACGCACAUUGCGCCCUUUGGUAUUCCUUAGGGCAUGCCUGUUCGAGCGUCAUUGCUGCCCUCAAGCACGGCUUGUGUGUUGGGCCUCCGUCCUCCUCCCGGGGGACGGGCCCGAAAGGCAGCGGCGGCACCGCGUCCGGUCCUCGAGCGUAUGGGGCUUCGUCACCCGCUCUUGUAGGCCCGGCCGGCGCUUGCCGACACAUCAAUCUUUUUUCCAGGUUGACCUCGGAUCAGGUAGGGAUACCCGCUGAACUUAAGCAUAUCAUAAGCGGAGGA